rnacentral:rRNA from 1 species
UAAUACGUAGGAGGCGAGCGUUGUCCGGAUUUACUGGGCGUAAAGCGCGCGCAGGCGGCACUUCAAGUAAGGUGUGAAAUCUCCCUGCUCAACGGGGAGGGUGCACUUUAGACUGAGGAGCUAGAGGACGGUAGAGGGGGGUGGAAUUGCUGGUGUAGCGGUGAAAUGCGUAGAGAUCAGCAGGAACACCCGUGGCGAAGGCGGCCCCCUGGGCCGUACCUGACGCUGAGGCGCGAAGGCUAGGGGAGCGAACGGGAUUAGAUACCCCGGUAGUCCUAGCAGUAAACGAUGGCCACUAGGUGUGGGGGGUGUUGACCCCUUCCGUGCCGAAGCUAACGCAUUAAGUGGCCCGCCUGGGGAGUACGGUCGCAAGACUA